UGCCCUGUGAGUGUUGGGCCCAUGGGAGUCUUUCGACUUCUCAUAUUUGCUCUUUCAUGGAUGAAUCUGGCUGCUGAAGACAACCCAUUUGAUCCAAACCUCUCACGUGACCUACUCAUGUGUUGGCUCGACAAAGGAUUGUGCUCCAAGCAUACCUGCCCUUUUCUUUCUAGGACUACUGCACCAUGUGGCAAACGUGCAGUUUGCUGCACAAGCAUUGUAACAAAUAUGUGGCUGUGUGGAUUUGGUAAAGGUUUUUGCUCAAUGUGGUACUGCCCUCUCAAGCACUUUCAGUUUGGAAUAUGUGGCAGAGGAAGCCCAUGCUGUGUGAAGUCCAUUCCAGGAAAGUAGGCCAAUCUCUCCAGGGGUGACCAGAAUGCUGCGGGUGUAACCAGUCGACAGCAGAGUUUAUUAGGACUCCAGUGCUGAAGUUGGAAAAGUCUCAAUAAAGAGAAUUAUGGGUGACAUCAGCAGGUUUUGAUGAAGAAUAAAAGAGACAGCAAACCACCUGGGAUCAAAAUAGUGUAAAAGAAACAGCAAAGAUGAGACUCACCCAUGCUAUGGCUUAGAAGAAUUUGUCCCAUUUGGUCAAACCAUAUUUUGAAGCAAAUAGAGAUCUGAAUAUCUCAAGAGGUGUGUGUGUGUGUGUGUGUGUGUGUGUGUGUGUGUAGAGCCUUCUCUGAUUCAUGUAAUCUACAUCAAUUUGCUUGGACUCCCAAGGAAUCUUGCCACCAGGAAUUCAUAUCUUCAGUUAUCCAUUUCAUUACUGACACAAUCAAUCAACCAAUAAACGAUUUUGAUGUGAAAUUGC